GACGUAGGGGGCAAGCGUUGUCCGGAUUCAUUGGGCGUAAAGAGCGUGUAGGCGGCCAGGUAGGUCGGUUGUGAAAACUGGAGGCUCAACCUUCAGACGUCGACCGAAACCAUCUGGCUAGAGUCCGGGAGAGGAGAGUGGAAUUCCUGGUGUAGCGGUGAAAUGCGCAGAUAUCAGGAAGAACACCCGUGGCGAAAGCGGCUCUCUGGAACGGUACUGACGCUGAGACGCGAAAGCGUGGGGAGCGAACAGG
rnacentral:rRNA from 1 species